UGGGGAAUCUUGGACAAUGGGGGAAACCCUGAUCCAGCAACGCCGUGUGAGUGAUGAAGGUCUUCGGAUUGUAAAGCUCUGUUAACCGGGAAUAAACACGUAAGCAUCAGAUCCUUACGUUUGAAUGUACCGGUAGAGGAAGCACCGGCUAACUCUGUGCCAGCAGCCGCGGUAAUACAGAGGGUGCGAGCGUUAUUCGAAAUUAUUGGGCGUAAAGCGCAAGUAGGUGGUGAGAUAAGUCCUGUGUGAAAGCCUCGGGCUCAACCCGAGAGGGUCAUGGGAAACUAUCUUGCUAGAGGACAAGAGGGGAGAGCGGAAUUCCCAGUGUAGUGGUGAAAUACGUAGAUAUUGGGAGGAACACCGGCGGCGAAAGCGGCUCUCUGGCUUGUAUCUGACACUCAGUUGCGAAAGCGUGGGGAUCAAACAGGAUUAGAUACCCUUGUAGUCCCUGAGCGGGCUGGCAAGGCGCAU
rnacentral:rRNA from 1 species